AUUGAACGCUGGCGGCAUGCCUUACACAUGCAAGUCGAACGGUAACGGGCCUUCGGGCGCCGACGAGUGGCGAACGGGUGAGUAAUACAUCGGAACGUGCCCGAUCGUGGGGGAUAACGAGGCGAAAGCUUUGCUAAUACCGCAUACGAUCUACGGAUGAAAGCAGGGGACCGCAAGGCCUUGCGCGGACGGAGCGGCCGAUGGCAGAUUAGGUAGUUGGUGGGAUAAAAGCUUACCAAGCCGACGAUCUGUAGCUGGUCUGAGAGGAUGAUCAGCCACACUGGGACUGAGACACGGCCCAGACUCCUGCGGGAGGCAGCAGUGGGGAAUUUUGGACAAUGGGCGCAAGCCUGAUCCAGCCAUGCCGCGUGCAGGAUGAAGGCCUUCGGGUUGUAAACUGCUUUUGUACGGAACGAAAAGCCUUCUUUUAAUACAGGAGGGUCAUGACGGUACCGUAAGAAUAAGCACCGGCUAACUACGUG
rnacentral:rRNA from 1 species